rnacentral:rRNA from 1 species
GACGAACGCUGGCGGCGUGCUUAACACAUGCAAGUCGAACGGAAAGGCCCUGCUUUUGUGGGGUGCUCGAGUGGCGAACGGGUGAGUAACACGUGAGUAACCUGCCCUUGACUUUGGGAUAACUUCAGGAAACUGGGGCUAAUACCGGAUAGGAGCUCCUGCUGCAUGGUGGGGGUUGGAAAGUUUCGGCGGUUGGGGAUGGACUCGCGGCUCAUCAGCUUGUUGGUGGGGUAGUGGCUUACCAAGGCUUUGACGGGUAGCCGGCCUGAGAGGGUGACCGGCCACAAUGGGACUGAGAUACGGCCCAGACUCCUACGGGAGGCAGCAGUGGGGAAUAUUGCACAAUGGGCGGAAGCCUGAUGCAGCAACGCCGCGUGCGGGAUGACGGCCUUCGGGUUGUAAACCGCUUUCGCCUGUGACGAAGCGUGAGUGACGGUAAUGGGUAAAGAAGCACCGGCUAACUACGUG